CUUGGAGGCCAAGUGAAAUCUUGAGAUUUGGGGAAUUGAAAGGCUAUAUAAAGGGGAGGAGGAGAGACCCACGUGAAGCUAAAACAAAGCAAAAGAACAAGUGCAACAAGGAAAUGAAAGAAAUCCAAGAAAGCAAAGAGAAGGAACGGUAAAGACACCUAGUCGAAAAGCAGAAAAACAGAAGGGAAAUCAAAGAGAAAAACAAAUCCGGUAAGAUGUGAAGCCUUAAACAUUCGAAUCUCAUCCAACCAAGUUGAGGUGAUUAUGAAUUAGGAGAUCGAAAUGUGGACAUGGAGUGGAGUGGCUAUUUGAAGAUAAUUUUAAAUAGUCGAAAUGAUGUUUCUCUCUCUUUGUAUUAGAAAGAUUUUCAAUAUUACACUCUUAUGAUAGAUGUACACCAUUGC